rnacentral:lncRNA from 1 species
AGGACCUGAUGACUCAACUCCUGUCACAAAGAAACAUCAAGACAAGGGGAAGAAAAAGGCAAUGAAGAGUGAUGAUGGUGACGCUAUGUUUUUGUUGGCAAAGAACAGGUUUGUGACAGUGCGA